AUUCAUUUAGUAUAAUAAGUAUAUUUAGCUUCCAACUAAAAGGUUUAAAAAUUAAAAUGAAUA
rnacentral:tRNA from 1 species